GACGAACGCUGGCGGCGUGCUUAACACAUGCAAGUCGAACGGAAAGGCCCUGCUUUUGUGGGGUGCUCGAGUGGCGAACGGGUGAGUAACACGUGAGUAACCUGCCCUUGACUUUGGGAUAACUUCAGGAAACUGGGGCUAAUACCGGAUAGGAGCUCCUGCUGCAUGGGGGGGGUUGGAAAGUUUCGGCGGGUGGGGAUGGACUCGGGGCUUAUCAGCUUGUUGGUGGGGUAGUGGCUUACCAAGGCUUUGACGGGUAGCCGGCCUGAGAGGGUGACCAGCGACAUUGGGACUGAGAUACGGCCCAGAGUCCUACGGGAGGCAGCAGUGGGGAAUAUUGCACAAUGGGCGGAAGCCUGAUGCAGCAACGCCGCGUGCGGGAUGACGGCCUUCGGGUUGUAAACCGCUUUCGCCUGUGACGAAGCGUGAGUGACGGUAAUGGGUAAAGAAGCACCGGCUAACUACGUG
rnacentral:rRNA from 1 species